rnacentral:tRNA from 1 species
CAUUAAGAAGCUAAAUUAGCAUUAACCUUUUAAGUUAAAGAUUGAGAGCCUAUAACUCUCCUUAAUGA